AUGACGGUGGUGGCUCUAUUGUUGCAACUGGCUUUUGUGAGAGAGUUUUGAGAAAGAUGAAAGUUUUAAGAAAUAAAAGAAGAUGGUGAGUCGAUUUAGGAGAGAGAAGCAUUCUAUGGGAAUAAAAGAUUUCAUAUCUUGGAAAUUUGUAUUUCAGAUUUUAAUACGAAAAAAAGAGAAUUAAUAUAUUUUUAUUGGUUAAUUAACUUUAACUAUUAACUGUAUAAUAACAACAGACAACUUGAGCAGUAAUUUACUAAUUUUGUAAGCGAAUUUGUAUAAGCCCUUCAAAGCACUAUGUAUUGAAGGUCAUAUGUAUUGAAGAUAAGUGAUCAUAUGAAAAUACUAAAUUAAGAAUAGACUACUACUAGAUAUUGAAAGAAUCCAAAUGGAUUAAUUGCUUCAAACUUUACUAAAAUUGCAUAUUAUUUUUCGAAACUAGGUUAUUAUUUACUAUUUUGAAACCAUAUUGGCAUCAGUGUUAUUGGCACCGGUAUCGUUAUUUGCUUUUAUUGUUUCCGGUUGAUAUAAAACAUGUUUUGUUGUCUUUUUUAGCACGUCACGACUUUUUUUGUCUUCUCUUUCUUUAUUGUUUCCGAUUGAUAUAAAACAUAUUUUGUUAUCUUUUUUAGCACGUCACGACUCUUUUUUGUUUUCUCUUUCGAUUGACAUAAUGAGUGUCGGUACCAUAACGAUAUGAAGCGAUAUUGAUUGAAAACCCGUCGCGUAGCGCGGGUAUCCAACUAGUUCUUAUAUGCUAACAAAUGUAGGAUAACCGUUCACAAAAUAAAUAAAAUAACAAUUUUUUUAUCAAUAUUCUGAUUACAAUACAUAAAGAAGAACUGAACUAAACUGAAAGGAAAUACAGUACAAGAAAUUUAAGCUAAACUAAGAACAUAUUACAAAAGAAAAAUUAAGAAACAUAAAAACAAUGGUGACUGAGGCACGUGAAGAUCACGCUUCCCUUAAAACAGAUUUCGGGCCACCCAGGUGAACCCGUUUGCUUCCCAGUGUACAACAGCCUGAGCAGAUUGUACUGCCGGGGAUAGCCAAUCACCUGAAAAAAUACCUGAAACAAGAGUUCUUAGGGAUGCGAAUUUAGGAAAUUCUAUGUGUGUGCUAUAAACCAUACGAAUUUAUGUGUGUUCUAAACAAAGCACACAACUUUGUAUAUAAUGUUGUUUAGAAUUCCAAAUGAAAGGUCAUAAUUGAAUACAAAAUUCAAUAAAAAUUAAGUCUCAAAUUCAAUGAGAACUUAAUUCAACUUGACUAGUAGGAAUCCAAACAGUCACCAAGACGCAUUUAAAAAAAUUUAAAGGCGGCUCCAAGCGGCGAUGUGAGCGUGCGAAGAGCAAAGUGCCCCAUCAAAGCGCCACAUUGCGCUCAUCGCCCUCGUCCCAGUCCCGUGCCCGUGCCCGAGCGCGUGUCGGGUGCUUCGCACCCUCUUGACAACCACUGGGUGUGAGUUGUCACACAAGAAUACAUUCGUGUAGAGAAUUCUAAUUAUAAAUCCACAAAAGAUUUAUCUCUCCACCUAUGUGGGACAAGCUCAAUUUCCCACAUGUUUAUGGUUCCAACACACAAACUUAAUGCACAAGAUCUCUCAUUCAUCUUAGCUUAAUUAAUAAAUAAUCAUUAUAUUAACUCAUAAUAUAAUAUUAUCUAUAAAAUUUCCAACAAUCCUCCACAUGAAUGGAGAUCGUCCCAUACACUCAAGUGUCAUGAUAAGAUUUUAGCGGUUAAGUAACGUAGGAUAGGUAGGUUUCCCUUUGAACCCUCAUUUGUGACAUAUACUUAGUCUUCUAGCGGUUAGUAGACGCGAUGUCCUUGAACCAACCCCUUUUUACGUAGACGUUAUUACACAUCACACAUUACUCUUCUUGGUCUGGCUAACCCCUCAUAGUUGCGUCCGUUAUGGUCAUGGAACACCAUCCUGGUUCUGCGAGAACUCUAGGAAUUGUGCCCCCAAUUCCAUUCGAAGAGACCCCACUUCUCUCCAACAUAGGUAAAUUACAAAUCAUUAAAAGCCAUAUGCUUAACCUCUCUUGAUAUCACUGAUUUUUAGUAUGAAUGGACUAGGAAGUUUGUAACUCCCUUUGUAUGUUGAGGUACUCCCCCACAGUGACCUCAGUUCGUAUAGUUAGGUGGUCCUAUUGAACCUAGAUCAUGGGAUCUCCAAUCUUCUAGGAUAGGUUUUCCGUUAUACAAACUUACUCCAAGGGCUUUAGUCCCAUUCCUAACGACGACUUAUGUACUACCUCUCUGCUUAAGCCUUUUGUAAGCGGAUCCGCAAUGUUAUCCUUUGACCUCACAUAGUCAAUCGUGAUAACUCCAGUUGAGAGUAGUUGUCGUAUCGUGUUAUGCCGACGUCGUAUGUGCCUUGAUCUGCCAUUAUACAUUGCAUUUUGAGCUCUACCAAUAGUUGAUUAGCAAUCACAAUGUAUGCAUGUAACACCCCGAAAAUAUAAAACUUUAUAUUAGAAUUAUAAAGCGUAAAUAAACAAGAACUUACUAACUAGGAAAAUUAUAACCUAGUUAAUUACAAGUCUAAAAAUAACUUGAAAUAGGGUUAAAUAACUAAAACUAUAUGUUAAACAAAAGUGGAGGGGCCAAUAAUGUCAAAAUUGAAAUUUAAGUUACUAAAUGUAACAAAAAACAAAAACCAAACACCCCAUUUGGGGUUUUGGUCGAUCAAGAACAAGCAGGGGCGACACCCCCACUCUCAAACCCUAACAUCCAUAAAUCUCAUAAAUUGAAUGUGCAAAUCUGGUCCAAAACAAAAUCCGAGCUUAGAAUUGUGAUCCUCAUCGCAAGAGGAUUAAAAGGUAUGUAAAAUUUGAUGAGAAUUCUCUACUUGAAAUUCUCAUGAAUUUAGGAAAUCUGAAAUUUGUUGAUGCAUGUUUGUGAUUUGGUUAGAUUAGUGAUGAUAUAGUGUCUAGGAGUAAAACCUAGACAACUACAUGUGAAUUCAUGUCCAAAUUCAGGAAAUUCCAUGAACCCGUUGAAGGUAGGUUAUGGGUUUUACAAGAUGAUGAUGAACACUAGGGUUUGGAAUGAUAAUUCUAGUAUAAUUUGAUCAUAGGAAGUAACUUCUGAAAUAUUGAUGCUAAGAUAUGUGCAAAAUUGAUUAAUUGAAGUGAAAUUAGAUGAUAAUUACAAGUCAUGAACUUGGUAAUAAUUACGAGAAAAUCUGACCCGCUAGGUGUUUGUUGAAAUGCCUAAGUGAGGAUUUAGAUGUAAAAAAUAGGAUGAAAAAGCAGAUUUGAUUAUUGUUCAUAAUGAUGCGUUAAUACUCAUGAAAAGAGUUCUAAACAAAUUAUAAAUUUGAAAUCUCUAGGCAAGGAGUCCGGAUCGUCAAGCGGACAAGCCGGAGGGAAUACGCGUGGGAAAAGUGUGCUCUAAAGUUUCCAGGUAUUUCAAGUAGUAGGAUGAUGAUCAAGCAAUCAAGUCGAACCGAACACACAAUUCAACGCUUCCGCACUUGAUCUUUUUGUUUUAAGACUAUGUAAACACUUGUAGUUUUUGUCUUGAAUAUUGUUUAGUAGGAUUAAUACGUAAAUGUUGUGACUAGUUAUGGUUUUCAAAUCUUGAAAGUUU
rnacentral:lncRNA from 1 species